rnacentral:snRNA from 1 species
AUGUCUCUUCUUCGGAUAUAUCCGAUAAAAUUGAAACGAUACAAAAAAAGAUUAGCAUGGUCCCUGCACAAGGAUGACACACACAAAUCGAGAAAUGGUCCAAAUACAA